rnacentral:tRNA from 1 species
GUAUUUGUAGUACAAGUAAAGUACGCUAUCUUUCCAAGUUAGAGAUUCAUGCACACAUGACUGAUACA